GACGAACGCUGGCGGCGUGCUUAACACAUGCAAGUCGAACGGAAAGGCCCUGCUUUUGUGGGGUGCUCGAGUGGCGAACGGGUGAGUAACACGUGAGUAACCUGCCCUUGACUUUGGGAUAACUUCAGGAAACUGGGGCUAAUACCGGAUAGGAGCUCCUGCUGCAUGGUGGGGGUUGGAAAGUUUCGGCGGUUGGGGAUGGACUCGCGGCUUAUCAGCUUGUUGGUGGGGUAGUGGCUUACCAAGGCUUUGACGGGUAGCCGGCCUGAGAGGGUGACCGGCCACAUUGGGACUGAGGUACGGACCAGACUCCUACGGGAGGCAGCAGUGGGGAAUAUUGCACAAUGGGCGGAAGCCUGAUGCAGAAACGCCGCGUGCGGGAUGACGGCCUUCGGGUUGUAAACCGCUUUCGCCUGUGACGAAGCGUGAGUGACGGUAAUGGGUAAAGAAGCACCGGCUAACUACGUG
rnacentral:rRNA from 1 species